UCAGUGUUGAAGGUAUAGUCCCCAGUGUUGAGCUACUUGGAGUCGAUAUCAGCUUUAAGAGGCUUUUCCCGCCUAAUGAAUUUGAGCCUUUGCGAGCGCCGUGUGAUUGACAGAGCCACAGACUGACAGCUUCAAGUUUCUAGGGUUUAUGGCAGCCUUUUUGGACCCACGCAGGUGAGCAGGCAAUGAGAAGAACGUUUCCAUUUCAGAGCAUGGCCUUGAUUGCUUGUCUGAGUCUCCCUAAAAAUCACUUAGACUUUCGUGCAUUCAACAAACAUGUCUUGACUCUCCAAGACUUGUACCCUGGGCAGUGCCAUGAUAUGCCAUGAAUCGAUUAUGCCCUUUGCCGUCAGGGAGCUCUGACUGGCAGGAUUGGAGAAGAGGGAGCUCCAGAGGACACAAGAUGCAACUGUCCCUGGGUUUGACUAUAAAAGAGGAGCUGCUAACCAGAUUAACCCUACAAAUGACAAAACCUUG
rnacentral:lncRNA from 1 species